rnacentral:rRNA from 1 species
UUAAAUUGAAGAGUUUGAUCAUGGCUCAGAUUGAACGCUGGCGGCAGGCCUAACACAUGCAAGUCGAACGGUAACAGGAAGAAGCUUGCUUCUUUGCUGACGAGUGGCGGACGGGUGAGUAAUGUCUGGGAAACUGCCUGAUGGAGGGGGAUAACUACUGGAAACGGUAGCUAAUACCGCAUAACGUCGCAAGACCAAAGAGGGGGACCUUCGGGCCUCUUGCCAUCGGAUGUGCCCAGAUGGGAUUAGC